CCUACGGGUGGCUGCAGUGGGGAAUAUUGCACAAUGGGGGGAACCCUGAUGCAGCGACGCCGCGUGAGUGAAGGAGCGUCUCGGUGUGUAAAGCUCUAUCGGCAGGGAAGAAAAUGACGGUACCUGACUAAGAAGCCCCGGCUAACUACGUGCCAGCAGCCGCGGUAAUACGUAGGGGGCAAGCGUUAUCCGGAUUUACUGGGUGUAAAGGGGGCGUAGACGGCGAUGCAAGUCAGGAGUGAAAGCCCGGGGCUGAACCCCGGUACUGCUGUGGAAACUGGGGGGCUGGAGUGCGGGAGGGGCAGGCGGAAUUCCUAGUGUAGCGGUGAAAUGCGUAGAUAUUAGGAGGAACACCGGUGGCGAAGGCGGCUGGCUGGACCGUAACUGACGUUGAGGCUCGAAAGCGUGGGGAGCAAACAGGAUUAGAUACCCGAGUAGUC
rnacentral:rRNA from 1 species